UGGGGGAAUAUUGGGGCAAUGGGCGAAAGCCUGAAGCAGCAACGCCGCGUGGAGGAUGACACUUUUCGGAGCGUAAACUCCUUUUCUUAGGGAAGAACAAUGACGGUACCCGGAGAAAAAGCAUCGGCUAACUCCGUGCCAGCAGCCGCGGUAAUACGGAGGAUGCGAGCGUUAUCCGGAUUUAUUGGGUUUAAAGGGUGCGCAGGCGGACUCGUCAAGUCAGCGGUAAAAAUUCGGGGCUCAACCCCGUCCUGCCGUUGAAACUGCGAGACUGGAGUGCGACAGAGGAAAGCGGAAUGCGAGGUGUAGCGGUGAAAUGCAUAGAUAUCGCGCAGAACUCCGAUUGCGAAGGCAGCUUUCCAUGUCGUGACUGACGCUGAGGCACGAAAGCGUGGGGAUCGAACAGGAUUAGAUACCCUGGUAGU
rnacentral:rRNA from 1 species